rnacentral:rRNA from 1 species
CCUACGGGAGGCAGCAGUGAGGAAUAUUGGUCAAUGGGCGAGAGCCUGAACCAGCCAAGUCGCGUGAGGGAGUACUGCCCUAUGGGUUGUAAACCUCUUUUGUAGGGGAGCAAAAGUCGGACGUGUCCGGCUGUGAGCGUACCCGAAGAAAAAGCAUCGGCAAACUCGGUUCCAGCAGCCGCGGUAAUAAGGAGGAUGCGAGCGUUAUCCGGAUUUAUUGGGCUUAAAGGGUGCGCAGGCGGAUUUUAAAGUCGGCGGGAAACUCGUGGGGCUCAACCCCAUCCAGCCGUGGAAACUGGGGAUCUAGAGUGUGCGAGAGGUAUGCGGAAUGCGUGGUGUAGCGGUGAAAUGCGUAGAUAUCACGCAGAACCCCGAUUGCGAAGGCAGCAUACCGGUGCACAACUGACGCUCAGGCACGAAAGCGUGGGUAUCGAACAGGAUUAGAUACCCUAGUAGUC